GACUCCGCAUGCGCACUGGAGCCUCGGAAUACAGCCAGGACUCUCCCGUCGGAAUGCGCCCCUAAGUUGGGCCAAGCCCAUUCAUUCAGGGGCUCCCGAGCCACGUAGGCGCCAUCCCUGGCCAGAGGGGUUCUGAGGAGGUGGGCAAGGGCAGACACUCUCUCCCGGUCUCAAAUUCGAAAUAGGGACUAGAAGGGAACUUCACGCGAGGCCUCGCAACUGUCGCGAGAAUCAGAACAGGAAAUCUAGGAACCGAGAACACUAAGAGCCCGCGGAUUUUAAACAGGAAAAAGAAAGGGCGGAGCAAACUCUGGCGGAUAGUUGUGAGUAAUCCCUGGUCCUUGGAAUAAGUGUCGACCUGAGACAGAAGGGGAACUGUCAGAGAGCUGCCGGAGACCCUGAAAAAGGCCAGAGACGGGGACUUGUGGGGCUGACGAAUGGAAUCACCCAAGGAGAGGUCUCUGACUCUAACAAAACACCUUGGGGACGGAGCUCCUUGGCUGGGAUACAGAGCAGACAAGUCCGGGAUCUUUUAGUGAAUUGCUGCCGGCUUCUAAGGCCUGGAGCAGAUAUUCAACAACAAACUCCACGGACCUAGAAACUCUCCACUUAUCCUACUAUUGUAGACGGUGGCUUACUUUUAGUCUUCCCUAUGCUCUAAGCUUCUGGUAGUAGGAAUCGUGCCUAACUCACUACUGUAUCUUGUGAACCUAGCCCCGCGCCUGGUGGCACGUCAAAUUCUCGGUAAAUAUUUGUGGAUUAAAUGUGAAAGACUGCCUGAGUGUUUAACCUGGAUUUUCUGAGUCGCUGAUGGAGAACAGUAGGUAGACGGGGAACCAGCGCCCUCUGGUGGGCUUGUGGUUCGUGACGAGAACAUGCUGGAACCGUGCAUCCAGGUAGGCACAAAGAUAAUAAAAGGGGAUCCGCUGUUAUUAAGUAGAGAUUUUGUUACAUUAAAACCCUACAUACCGUAAAAA
rnacentral:lncRNA from 1 species